GACCUAUUAGCUCAAUUGGUUAGAGUGUCGUAUUAAUAAUGCGAAGGUCAGGUUCAAAACCUACAUGAGCCA
rnacentral:tRNA from 1 species